AUUGAACGCUGGCGGCAGGCCUAACACAUGCAAGUCGAGCGGAUGAGUGGAGCUUGCUCCAUGAUUCAGCGGCGGACGGGUGAGUAAUGCCUAGGAAUCUGCCUGGUAGUGGGGGACAACGUUUCGAAAGGAACGCUAAUACCGCAUGCGUCCUACGGGAGAAAGCAGGGGACCUUCGGGCCUUGCGCUAUCAGAUGAGCCUAGGUCGGAUUAGCUAGUAGGUGAGGUAAUGGCUCACCUAGGCGACGAUCCGUAAAUGGUCUGAUAGGAUGACCAGUCACACUGGAACUGGGACACGGUCCAGAAGCGUACGGGAGGCAGCAGUGGGGAAUAUUGGACAAUGGGCGAAAGCCUGAUCCAGCCAUGCCGCGUGUGUGAAGAAGGUCUUCGGAUUGUAAAGCACUUUAAGUUGGGAGGAAGGGCAGUAAGUUAAUACCUUGCUGUUUUGACGUUACCAACAGAAUAAGCACCGGCUAACUUCGUGCCAGCAGCCGCAGUAAUAC
rnacentral:rRNA from 1 species